CCGGAACGCGAUGACAUCACACAGCAGGGUUCUCUCGCCUCCGUAUCCCUAGCAACAGGUCGACCGACUGGCCGGCGUCGGUGAUUGUGUCUGUCCCGGGAGUGUUACAGAGAGAGAGUGCCCACGAGCCUGACAGGAAAUGCCCCUGUUCUACUUCCUGUAUCCUGUAGCCUUCCAGACCAUAACCUGGAGUCUGUUACCAAGAGCAACAUCACUCUACCUCCUCCUUAUUGGUUUGACAAUUCAGCCACAGUCCAGCAGUUCCUCUAAUUACUAGGGAUCGUUGUUGUGAGGUG